rnacentral:lncRNA from 1 species
GAGGUCAGACCAGGAAGACAGAGGCCAAACCCAGCAUCACACUUUGACCUGCCCGGGAACACAGUGAGCUCCUGGGAAAUAACCACUAAAGUCUUGAAAUGUCUUGAGUGAUUGGAGGACCUUUAUUUUUCACGCCUGAUGCCUUAUGCUGAUGAGAUGACUCAGCAGGGGAUGGCCAGGCCAGAAAGACCAAAACUGUAUCCUGAGGUUUGAGUUUCUGAGCCAGGUGAUGUCAUCCUCCAGCUUGGCCGGCCUCUUUCUGGGAGCCUCUGGUGUGAAAGAGAGCAGUGCUUGCCUUUCCCAUGUCUAGGAGUUUGCCUAAAUCUUCAAAGAUAUGUGAGGCUUGCCUAGAACAUCAUCAUCAGGAAUGCUGGUCCUUCAAUUUGUUUUUUGAAUUGAAGUGUAGUUUACAGUGAUCAAGUUGAAAAUAAGGCUCUGCAUGAAAGCUAACUAUUAAAAGGGUGUGGGCACAGGAGCAACCAACACAGACCCCACAGAAUCCCAAACCUAUGCUAAGAGGGAGCACUUCCAUCCCUCCAAACCUGUGCUAAGAGGGACACCUCCAUCCUUCUAAGCCUGUGCUAAGAGGGAACACCUCCAUCCUUCCAAACCUGUGAUAGGAGGGAGCAUCUCCAUCCUUCUGAACCUGUGCUAAGAGGAAACACCUCCAUCCUUCCAAACCUGUGAUAGGAGGGAGCACCUCCAUCCUUCCGAACCUGUGCUAAGAGGGACACCUCCAUCCUUCCAAGCCUGUGCUAAGAGGGAGCACCUCCAUCCUUCCAAACCUGUGAUAGGAGGGAGCACCUCCAUCCUUCCAAGCCUGUGCUAAGAGGGAGCACCUCCAUCCUUCCAAACCUGUGAUAGGAGGGAGCACCUCCAUCCUUCCGAACCUGUGCUAAGAGGGACACCUCCAUCCUUCCAAGCCUGUGCUAAGAAGGAGCACCUCCAUCCUUCCAUCUGGCCAGCUGUGCUUGCCCCACUCCCACCCAAAAUGUUUACCCACGUGGGAAAUGCCUGCCCUGCAUAGGAGUACCCAAGGAACCCAGGAUAUAAAGAAACUUCUAAAAUGGAUCUGAAAGGGGGAAGAGCCCUCCCCUGUAAGGAAGCGAGAGAGUUGUAGGAAGUAAUGUCGAUAGGCUCUUUGAAGCAUGCAAGCACGCUGCUCCACAGGCUUAGCUGCACAGAGACGCACUACUCCAUUUACUCAUGGGCUGCCCGUGGGGCUUGGCGAAAGAGCAGGCUUGGCUUAGGGGAACUACUGAGACACAUCCAGAUUUAUUAAAAAUCAUCAACUUCAAAUUAUUUGGAUGGAAACAUUGCCAAAUCAUAGAGAUGUUUGCUACCACCCGCACACCAAGCAGCUGGGUAACUAGAAGUGCAGGAUCAGCUUAUUCACCUCCGAAAGCCUGCAUGCAACCACUGAGGCCGCCUCUAUUUUUUACAUAGUUCUACUUGGUGUAUGUAACCCCACAGAGAAACCUGGAAGAAUGCAUGAAACCUAGUAAGGCAACCAGCACAUGCAACAGAAUGAACCGUUUCUUUCCAUCUGAAUGCCUAAAUGUGGACUCUGAUCCUUUCUACCAAGUCCUAAGUUUGGGAAAAGAGGACAAGGACAGGGGCUCUGUCCCAUAUCAUAAUGUGCUUGUGAAUGGCUAAAAUUACAAUGCUGAGAUAAGUGUGUGUAAUAAAAUAAUUGCACCCCGAAUUGAAGAAUGUUUCACUGUUUAUUU